GAUUGAAGCCUAUCCUAAAACAAGCUACGUGCUUGUCCGCAAUCAUGGCAUAUAUGGAUGGGGAGACUCAUGGAUUAGUGCUAAAACUCAGGUGCAUAUUUGGCUUUCUAUUCUAGUGUUUUGGAUUCUCUGGCGGUUGAAUUGAAAGCAUCAAAGGACUUCUCUAAGUUAUAUGCAGGCAUUGCAAUACUUUGGCUUCAUCUAAGCUUGAACCAGCCCUCUGUUGUAUAUUGUUUCUUCUUCUUUUCUGAUCUUUUUCCUUUGAUUAAUGAGAGGUGAUGAUGAUUUGGCAUUCUUUUCUCACCAGGAUGAAUAUUGUUUUAGAAAUAGUAAUACUUUGUGAGUGUGUCUCUGUGUGUGUUUUUUAUGUAUUAAAUUACAUAUUGAAUCAAUGUUUAUGUAUUAAAUUUAAAUUCAUUAAUUUUUAUAUUUAGUUUUAAAGUUAAGAAUUUUAAUAGAAAA